rnacentral:rRNA from 2 species
ACGGGUGGUAAUGCCGGAUGCUCCAGUUGAUCGCAUGGUCUUCUGGGAAAGCUUUCGCGGUAUGGGAUGGGGUCGCGUCCUAUCAGCUUGACGGCGGGGUAACGGCCCACCGUGGCUUCGACGGGUAGCCGGCCUGAGAGGGCGACCGGCCACAUUGGGACUGAGAUACGGCCCAGACUCCUACGGGAGGCAGCAGUGGGGAAUAUUGCACAAUGGGCGCAAGCCUGAUGCAGCGACGCCGCGUGAGGGAUGGAGGCCUUCGGGUUGUAAACCUCUUUUAUCGGGGAGCAAGCGUGAGUGAGUUUACCCGUUGAAUAAGCACCGGCUAACUACGUGCCAGCAGCCGCGGUAAUACGUAGGGUGCAAGCGUUAUCCGGAAUUAUUGGGCGUAAAGGGCUCGUAGGCGGUUCGUCGCGUCCGGUGUGAAAGUCCAUCGCUUAACGGUGGAUCCGCGCCGGGUACGGGCGGGCUUGAGUGCGGUAGGGGAGACUGGAAUUCCCGGUGUAACGGUGGAAUGUGUAGAUAU